UCAGAAUAGAUCAACCUUCACUGACCAAUUCCCCAUUCCACAAGGAUGUCUAGGCUCAGAUAUGGCUAUAUUUCUCUUAAAGACUACUGUUAAUUUAUAGAGCAAACUGCAAGACAAGAAUGGAUUCCACCCUCCUACUGUCUUCCACUCUAGACUACCACUAGUUUAUAGACCAAACUGCAGGACAAGAAUGGAUAACUUCCUACCCUUCUCCUAGACAUCACAAUGUCAUCUCCCAUCAGAUUCUCUCUCUUCAUCUCUCUCUACCCCAUUCCCAUUGAGAAGACACAAGUGAAGUAAUGUAAAACAUUUCUAUAAGUCAUGUUGUAAAAGGAAAUAUAGAGUUCCCCAAGAAAAAUCUUCAAGAAAAAUAAAGCUUAAAAAAGUAUUCUUCAA